UUUUUCUCUCCACACCCCCAGCCGGCACCAUCUGUAUCAAAAGUUCCAAGUACUCAGAUUAAUUUGCCACCAAGGUCGGCGGACAGCAGCCGCAAGCUGCCACCAAGGUCUGAGGACAGCAGCCGCAAGCCGCCACCAAGCUCAGAGGACAGCAGCAGCAAGCCUCAGGAUAGCUUGGCUGUCAGGCCAGGGCACAGGGCUCGCAGGCGUCGGGAAAGCAUAAAACCCCCUGAAAAACCAGGAGAGUGAGGAGAGACAAAUGCGCAAUCAGGACUUCAGAGACUUGCAGAUCAUGGGAAAACAGCAUCCAAGCAGAGAAUGGAAAAAGCAGGAGUCAAGUGGAGAGAGCGGCAGAUUUGUGAGAAGGACGGAGAUACGGUUAGGAUAGUCUUCUGAGUGGAGGCUGCAUCUGAAGAAGUGUCAAAAGGGAAAGGGAAGAACAGCUUCGGCACUCAUCACCCGGAGAAGGAGAUAUCAGCAUACGUACCAACCUCCAGUGCUAUCCCUACUGCUAGAGCAUCAUUCCUUGGACGUAGGCCACAAAGGAACUUCUCUUUGUAUAUAUAUGACCCUCAGAGUUCCUCAGUGUGUUCACACUUUGCUUCGAAUUUCCGGCCCUUUCCAUGUUGGCAUUGAGUAGGAAUUAUGCCCAAGUAGUGCCAGUUUGGAGGACAUGCCCCUGGCAGCGGCCCAGAUCAUGGAAUAGCAAUGGGUUGCUUGAACUGCAGACAAGUCCAAGAACAACAUACACAGCUUGGUUCUGGCCCAUCAAGAAAGAACCCAGGACACGUUCCUUAGCCAGGUUCUGGGUCAUCUUUUCUGCUACAUUCAGAGAUGCUAGCGGGUCUUUUCAGUAAGACCUUUUGAUUUCAAGCUCUUCUCUUCCAAAGCCUCAAGAUGUUUGCUAUGCUCUCGGCCCUGCCUUUUCCAAUGCCACCUAGGAUCGCGUCACACGCAGAGGAAUAAGGAAAGCUCACUUGCUGCUUUGCAUUCUCUGGAUUUGGGGAUGCCGCCUAGUUCAGUUAAAAUGAACUUUGCCCCGAAGGACUUUGUGAACGUCACAAAAUAGAUGGGGAGGGGGGAAUAGAUGCAGUUAUGUUAAUCAACUUUCAGAAUUGUGCUGGCUUCAGAGUCGCAAUAGAACAAUAAAAUACUGAAUUGAGUGUUAGCGCCUUUAUGUUUAUGAAAAAUUGCUGCUUAUGCACCAUUGUGUGUGACUGGAUCCUGGCCUGUAUAUUUCGGAUGGAGGUAUUAUAGUAAGUUUUUUAAUUGUACAGUAAACUAUCAUAGGAUAACAUGUUAUG